AACGAACGCUGGCGGCGUGGAUAAGACAUGCAAGUCGAACGCUUAUUUACCUGUAGCAAUACAGGUGAGUAGGAGUGGCGCAAGGGUGCGUAACACGUGGGUAAUUUGCCGUGAAGACCGGGAUAACUUGCUGAAAGGCGAGCUAAUACCGGAUGUGGAAAUUGGAAGGCAUCUUUUGAUUUCUGAAGCUGGGGACCGCAAGGCCUGGCACUUUACGAUAAGCCCGCGGCCUAUCAGCUAGUUGGUGAGGUAACGGCUCACCAAGGCUAAGACGGGUAGCUGGUCUGAGAGGACGACCAGCACACUGGAACUGAGACACGGUCCAGACACCUACGGGUGGCAGCAGUCGAGAAUUUUUCUCAAUGGGCGAAAGCCUGAAGGAGCGACGCCGCGUGGGGGAUGAAGGGUUUCGAUCCGUAAACCCCUGUCAUUUGCGAACAAACCCUGUGG
rnacentral:rRNA from 1 species